CCUACGGGGGGCAGCAGUGAGGAAUAUUGGUCAAUGGACGCAAGUCUGAACCAGCCAUGCCGCGUGCAGGAAGACGGCCCUAUGAGUUGUAAACUGCUUUUGUACGAGGGUAAACGCAGACACGUGUAUCUGUUUGUAAGUACCGCAUGAAUAAGGACCGGCUAACUCCGUGCCAGCAGCCGCGGUAAUACGGAGGAUUCAAGCGUUAUCCGGAUUUAUUGGGUUUAAAGGGAGCGUAGGCGGUCGGUUAAGUUUGAGGUGAAAUCCCGAGGCUCAACCUCGGAAUUGCGGCUGAUACUGUUCGGCUAGAGAGUAGUGACGGUAGGCGGAAUGUAUGGUGUAGCGGUGAAAUGCUUAGAGAUCAUGCAGAACACCGAUUGCGAAGGCAGCUUACCGAGCUACUUCUGACGUUGAGGCACGAAGGCGUGGGGAGCGAACAGGAUUAGAUACCCUAGUAGUC
rnacentral:rRNA from 1 species